rnacentral:rRNA from 1 species
AUGGCUCAGGACGAACGCUGGCGGCGUGCUUAACACAUGCAAGUCGAACGGAAAGGCCCUGCUUUUGUGGGGUGCUCGAGUGGCGAACGGGUGAGUAACACGUGAGUAACCUGCCCUUGACUUUGGGAUAACUUCAGGAAACUGGGGCUAAUACCGGAUAGGAGCUCCUGCUGCAUGGUGGGGGUUGGAAAGUUUCGGCGGUUGGGGAUGGACUCGCGGCUUAUCAGCUUGUUGGUGGGGUAGUGGCUUACCAAGGCUUUGACGGGUAGCCGGCCUGAGAGGGUGACCGGCCACAUUGGGACUGAGAUACGGCCCAGACUCCUACGGGAGGCAGCAGUGGGGAAUAUUGCACAAUGGGCGGAAGCCUGAUGCAGCAACGCCGCGUGCGGGAUGACGGCCUUCGGGUUGUAAACCGCUUUCGCCUGUGACGAAGCGUGAGUGACGGUAAUGGGUAAAGAAGCACCGGCUAACUACGUGCCAGCAGCCGCGGUGAUACGUAGGGUGCGAGCGUUGUCCGGAUUUAUUGGGCGUAAAGGGCUCGUAGGUGGUUGAUCGCGUCGGAAGUGUAAUCUUGGGGCUUAACCCUGAGCGUGCU